rnacentral:rRNA from 1 species
GACGAACGCUGGCGGCGUGCUUAACACAUGCAAGUCGAACGGAACUUAUUGGAUCAAGACUUCGGUCAAGUGAAUUUAAGUUUAGUGGCGGACGGGUGAGUAACGCGUGAGGAACCUGCCUUUCAGAGGGGGACAACAGUUGGAAACGACUGCUAAUACCGCAUAAUGCAUAUUGAUCGCAUGGUCGAUAUGCCAAAGAUUUAUCGCUGAAAGAUGGCCUCGCGUCUGAUUAGCUAGUUGGUGAGGUAACGGCCCACCAAGGCGACGAUCAGUAGCCGGACUGAGAGGUUGACCGGCAACAUUGGGACUGAGAUACGGCCCAGACUCCUACGGGAGGCAGCAGUGGGGAAUAUUGGGCAAUGGGCGCAAGCCUGACCCAGCAACGCCGCGUGAAGGAAGAAGGCUUUCGGGUUGUAAACUUCUUUUGUCGAGGAAGAGUAGAAGACUGUACUCGGCGAAUAAGCCACGGCUAACUACGUGCCAGCAGCCGCAGUAACAC